rnacentral:rRNA from 1 species
CAGCAGCCACGGGAAAACGUAGGUGGCAAGCGUUGUCCGGAAUUAUUGGGCGUAAAGCGCGCGCAGGUGGUUUGUUAAGUCAGAUGUGAAAUCCCCGGGCUCAACCUGGGAACUGCAUCUGAUACUGGCAAGCUUGAGUCUCGUAGAGGGGGGUAGAAUUCCAGGUGUAGCGGUGAAACGCGUAGAGAUCUGGAGGAAUACCGGUGGCGAAGGCGGCCCCCUGGACGAAGACUGACGCUCAGGUGCGAAAGCGUGGGGAGCAAACAGGAUUAGAUACCCCGGUAGUCCCGUCUCUUAUACC